UACGGAGGGUGCAAGCGUUAUCCGGAUUCACUGGGUUUAAAGGGUGCGUAGGUGGACAGGUAAGUCAGUGGUGAAAUCCCUGGGCUUAACUCGGGAACUGCCGUUGAUACUAUCUGUCUUGAAUAUCGUGGAGGUGAGCGGAAUAUGUCAUGUAGCGGUGAAAUGCUUAGAUAUGACAUAGAACACCCAUUGCGAAGGCAGCUCACUACACGAUAAUUGACACUGAGGCACGAAAGCGUGGGGAGCAAAC
rnacentral:rRNA from 1 species